GAUGAACGCUGGCGGCGUGCCUAAUACAUGCAAGUCGAGCGAACAGACGAGGAGCUUGCUCCUCUGACGUUAGCGGCGGACGGGUGAGUAACACGUGGAUAACCUACCUAUAAGACUGGGAUAACUUCUGGAAACCGGAGCUAAUACCGGAUAAUAUAUUGAACCGCAUGGUUCAAUAGUGAAAGACGGUUUUGCUGUCACUUAUAGAUGGAUCCGCGCCGCUUUAGCUAGUUGGUAAGGUAACGGCUUACCAAGGCGACGAUGCGUAGCCGACCUGAGAGGGUGAUCGGCCACACUGGAACUGAGACACGGUCCAGACUCCUACGGGAGGCAGCAGUAGGGAAUCUUCCGCAAUGGGCGAAAGCCUGACGGAGCAACGCCGCGUGAGUGAUGAAGGUCUUCGGAUCGUAAAACUCUGUUAUUAGGGAAGAACAAAUGUGUAAGUAACUAUGCACGUCUUGACGGUACCUAAUCAGAAAGCCACGGCUAACUACGUG
rnacentral:rRNA from 1 species